UGCUCUAGGAAGAUUACUCUAAUACAUGUUUAUUCUGUUAUUCAAUAAAUAUUUGUUGAGCUUGUACAAUGUACCAGAUGCAGUCUAAAUGCUGGUCACACAGUGAGGCCUUUGUAUCGUUCUUUCUCUAAGUCUAGUGAGACCAUAUAGAAUGAAUUGGAAAAGCAAGAUAAUCAGGGUAGCUAAGAGAUAUUUUCUGCAUUACAGAAGAGAAAAAUCUAUGCUGAGUUCGUGGCAGUGGGAAUGGGAAUGGGAAUAGAGCAGCUGGGCCUGGCUGGAGAUAAAAACCCAUGGAAAAUGGACAGAAAUUGACAAAUCAUUUUACAUGAAAGAGUAAGAGAUGAGGACUCACUAUGCUGUCCAGACUGGUCUCAAACUCCUGGCCUCAAGCCAUCCUCCCUGCUCAGUCUCCCAAAGUGCAGGCCUGAGCCACCAAGGGCAAACUUUGUUAAAAGGAAGCCUUACAUGGAGGAUUUAAACAAAACAGAUAAAAGCUGAGUGGAUCUGAUCAGAGUGGCUGGGGCUUGGAGCUUCGCCCUUUGGCCCUUCCCAGAAACCUUCAUCCCCACAUGCUCCACAUCCUCAGCUCCGCAGACUCCAGCUUGAAAGCCUUCACCCUUGAAAAACAACCAAGAUGAAUAAGGAAGAGACAGUCAAAUGAAGUUAAAAACUGCAGGAGCAGCUGAAGACCAGCAGGAUUGCAGAGAUCCACCGUCUGGAAGGACUUCCUGCCUUGGCUUGUUGAAAUCCAGCAAAGAGCACAGGCAAGAACCUGGAGGUGCAGAGGCUGAGGAGAGGCAACUGCAAAAUUGGAACCAAAGGGGAAUGGGCUUUGUGGGGAAAAUAGUAGGAGGGAGCACCUGCACAAUGUGGUGUUCCUGUGUCCCUGGCUGCAAACGACAUAAGAGAAAAUAAAAGAGUUAGGGCCUAGCAAGACAGGCCAACAUUCAAAUUCAGGAAAUACAGAGAACACCGCAAAGAUACUCUUCAAGAGGAGCAACCCCAAGACACAUAAUUGUCAGAUUCUCGAAGGCUGAAAUGAAGGAAAAAAUG